GUUUCAAAUAUCGUUCUCUGCUAUAUUAAAAGACAAUGUCAAUGUUAAAUAACAUAGUGGGAUACUGGGCUUAUAUUCAGGGGGCUUAUAUUCAGGGGACUUAUAUUCAGGGGGGCUUAUAUUUGGGGGGGGGGCUUAUAUUUGGAAUGAGGUGAGCAUUAUAUUCAGAGGUUUACAGUAUACAGUUGAAAAAAGCUUGUAUUUUCUUGUCAUAGACACACAUUUCUGGGUGCAUAUAGAACAGCUUAUACGUCAGGUUCUCAUGUCGAUCCAAUGGUAAUUUGAUAUCGCUGCCAUCACCAUAAUAUAGUGUAGCACAGAAUGGCCUUGUAUCAUACUUUGACAUCAUGCAUGCAGAAAUGCCUUGGUCAUUCAUGUGGAAAUAUGAGAUAUGACUAUCACGAUAGAAUUAGUUACGCCAAGUAACACGUCGUACACGUCAGGUAGCAGCUGAAAUAUUUUAAUAUUUGCCAUAAUAAGCCCAUAACCUGUUGGCAAAACAACCAAAACAUCUUCACCAUUUUACAUUAUGGCCGAGAUACAUUUGAAUGUCUCGUCUUUUAACGAAUAUUCAAGCCCUAUUUUCGCUAGAACAACUUUCAUAGCUCUUUCAGUAUUUGCCAUUGAAUAUAAUUUAAUAGUAGUACGAUUUAAAGCACCUUCAAACGUAUAAAAACCCAUUUUGUAUACUAUAUUCUGAUGAGAAUCUUUG